UGGGGAAUAUUGGACAAUGGGCGAAAGCGAUCCAGCCAUGCCGCGUGUGUGAAGAAGGCCUUUUGGUUGUAAAGCACUUUAAGUGGGGAGGAAAAGCUUAUGGUUAAUACCCAUAAGCCCUGACGUUACCCACAGAAUAAGCACCGGCUAACUCUGUGCCAGCAGCCGCGGUAAUACAGAGGGUGCAAGCGUUAAUCGGAAUUACUGGGCGUAAAGCGCGCGUAGGUGGUUAUUUAAGUCAGAUGUGAAAGCCCCGGGCUUAACCUGGGAACUGCAUCUGAUACUGGAUAACUAGAGUAGGUGAGAGGGGAGUAGAAUUCCAGGUGUAGCGGUGAAAUGCGUAGAGAUCUGGAGGAAUACCGAUGGCGAAGGCAGCUCCCUGGCAUCAUACUGACACUGAGGUGCGAAAGCGUGGGUAGCAAACAGGAUUAGAUACCCUGGUAGUCCACGCCGUAAACGAUGUCUACCAGUCGUUGGGUCUUUUAAAGACUUAGUGACGCAGUUAACGCAAUAAGUAGACCGCCUGGGGAGUACGGCCGCAAGGUUA
rnacentral:rRNA from 1 species